AAGGAACUCUAGAUUUUUUUUUGAAAUGUAGAGUAAGCAGAAUGGACUUCUGAAUCUCAGGGCCCUGGGUUCCUAGCCUGGCUUGGCUCUUGACUAGAAAGCAGUUGACCUCUCUGGGCCUCUGCCUCCUUGGCCAUAAAAUGAGAUUGAGAACAUCAUGCUCACAGCUCUAUUAAUAUCAAAUGAGAUGAAGUAUCUGCACGGUGAUGCUUGAUAAAUGGCAGAAAUAUUGUUAAUAUAGUGAAGUCAACAUAACUUAAGGUCUGUGAUGGUCCACAUAGUAGAACCGUGGAGAUCAUCUUGAGUGUGCUAUCCCUAGUGUUAAUAUUCAUCCUGACUUUAAGAAUAAACUUGUAAAGUGCCCUCUUUUUUCUCAUUUUAGAAACUUCCUCAAUUUCUCCUAUAACACAAGGCAAAAAUGAUCCCAGGAGAACCGAGAACUGCAGAAUCUCAUUGAUAAAGACACUGAAAAAGAAGGAAGUAAAAUAACAUUUCUGAAGUUAUGCAUCUGCAUCAACCCAGAGCCAGGAAGAGGAUCCAAGGUGGGACACUGACAGGCCCUGCCUCCUUUGUCUUCAUCCAAAUGGCUACUGCUCUGAUUGUCCAUUAUUCGAUCAACAAUUAACCCCAGGGAACAGAAUCCAGAAUUUCCUAGCAAGGCAUUAUUAGCCUCCUUUCCUGCAGACAUUGUGGUGCAUCUUGGGAAAAGAAACUCAAAUUAGUUCCCAAAAGAAUGCACUGACUACAGAUGUUUCCCACUUGCAUGAUUGAGAAAACUGCUGCUGGACUCAGAGUGAUUUCACAAACAUCAGAGUGCAAACCUAAAAUUAUUUCUUUACUUCAAGAACUGGUGUCAGCUAUAAACUUAUCAGUUUGUGCGAGGCUGCACACAAAUACGUGGAGGGACCGAGGCUGAGGACAUGAGGAGUGGACAGCCUUCACUUCCAUCUGUCCUGAGUAGUGAAACCACAUUUCAAACUAGCUGAAUUCAAGGGGAGGAAAUUCUUGUAAGGACACAAGUACACCUUAUCAUUAGGGCUUGGACACAGAAACUGAAAAUUCAUCAGGAACAAAGCAGGCUGGAGUUGAUGGAAUUCCCACCAGG